rnacentral:rRNA from 1 species
UACGAAGGGGGGCUAGCGUUGCUCGGAAUCACUGGGCGUAAAGCGCACGUAGGCGGCUCUUUAAGCCGGGGGUGAAAUCCUGGGAGCUCAACUCCAGAACUGCCUUCGAUACUGUAGAGCUUGAGUUCGGGAGAGGUGAGUGGAACUGCGAGUGUAGAGGUGAAAUUCGUAGAUAUUCGCAAGAACACCAGUGGCGAAGGCGGCUCACUGGCCCGAUACUGACGCUGAGGUGCGAAAGCGUGGGGAGCAAACAGG